GGAGGUCUUCUCAUCACUGGGCCCAUAAUGUGAUUUCCGUCUUCCUCCCAUCUUUGAUUUUUCACUGCCUAUUCCUUUCACCUCCUGCCCUUCAUUAUUUGUUCCUUUAUUUAGCAAAACAAAAAAUAAGUUCAUCUGGAAUAUUCAUUAAGUGAUCAGUCAUCACCGCUCUAUGUCUAGAGAAAGAGGCAAAGAUUUCGCCGAAGGAUCGUCUGCUGGAGGUUCUCUGAAUGAUGAUCAGCAGCAGCCUGCCACACCAAGCCGCUAUGAAUCCCAGAAGAGAAGGGACUGGAACACUUUUGGUCAGUACUUGAAGAACCAGAGGCCUCCAGUGGCGCUGUCUCAGAGCAAUUACAACCAUGUACUGGAGUUUCUUAGGUAUCUGGACCAGUUUGGGAAGACCAAAGUUCAUCUCCAGGGUUGCAUGUUUUAUGGGCAGCCUGAGCCUCCUGCUCCUUGCACAUGUCCACUUAGGCAAGCCUGGGGCAGCCUGGAUGCUCUCAUAGGGAGGCUGAGGGCUGCCUACGAAGAAAAUGGAGGAUCCCCGGAGAACAACCCUUUCGCUAGCGGUGCAAUCAGGGUUUACCUGAGGGAGGUCAGGGAGUGCCAAGCUAUGGCAAGAGGGAUUCCUUUUAAGAAGAAAAAGAAGAAGCCAAGUCCAAGCAAGGGAUCCGGACCAAAUGAUGAUGAAUCAAGUUCUACCAUGCAUUUCUCUUGAUGCAUUUUGAUUCCUUUGGCCAAUUUCAGAAUUAAUCAAAGGAUUAAAUAUUAGAUUCGGGAGCCAAAGGAGUUUGAACCCACGUCAUUGUGAUCAUAUGAAAAUUGAGCGAAAAGGAAGGAAAUUGAGCCAAAAGGAAGGAAUUGUUCCAAAGGAAUUUGCCUGGAUACUUUCAGUAUUGUCAAGUUUGAUUAUGGCUUCUUUUUUUUUUUUUCUUUUUUUUUCAGUCAAAUUACAUAAGGAAUAAGUUGAUCCAUAUAAGUAGCGAUCACUUAUGGCUUGCUGGCAUGAACACGAAUCGGUAUUAGUUCCUUUUGUUAAAUUGUAAUUGGAGAAUUUGAAAGCAUGUAAUAGAUUAUCGGAAAUCGUUAUGUCCAUAGUUGUCAAUACUAUCAGGACUAUAAUGAUAUUAUGUGUUUCCUACA